rnacentral:rRNA from 1 species
CAGAACGAACGCUGGCGGCGCGUCUUAAGCAUGCAAGUCGAACGGCAAGAGGUAGCAAUACCUCCUAGAGUGGCGGACUGGUGAGUAACACGUGGGUGACAUACCCUUCAGAUGGGGAUAGCUAUUAGAAAUAGUAGAUAAUACCGAAUACGAGCACAGGGGUUAGAGAUCUGUGAGGAAAGGAGCUAAGGCUCCGCUGAAGGAAUGGCCUGCGGCCCAUUAGCUAGUUGGUGAGGUAAGAGCCCACCAAGGCGAUGAUGGGUAUCCGGCCUUAGAGGGUGAACGGACACAUUGGGACUGAGAUACGGCCCAGACUCCUACGGGAGGCAGCAGCUAAGAAUAUUCCGCAAUGGACGAAAGUCUGACGGAGCGACGCCGCGUGGAUGAAGAAGGCCGGAAGGUUGUAAAAUCCUUUUGAAACUGAAGAAUAAGCGUUGUAGGGAAUGACAGCGUGGUGACAGUAGGCUUUGAAUAAGCAACGGCUAAUUACGUGCCAGCAGCUGC